AAUUGUGAAUUGAUUUGGGUUGCAAACCGUAAAGAUUCUGUUUUAAUUUUUGAUACAUAAAAAUAUAUCUAAACAUAUAGAUAUUAAAGAUACACUAUAAAUAAAUGAAUUGCUUCUUUUAAAUGAUGGACAUGGGUGUAAUAGGGAAGAUGCUUCUGUCUAUGUUUAGUUUCAUAUAUUACGAAUAACAAUCUUUUUAAAUUAAUGGCGUCUAAAAUCUAACUCCUUUUUGGCCAUGCUUUUGCUACUAAGUAUAGAAUGAAGAGUGUUCCUGUGGUCGAUCUAGGAGAAAGAAAGAUUGAUAUCAUCGUCAUAAUCUGCUGUUAUUCACAUGUUGGAGGAAUGCGCCGGUCUUUUACCAGUCUAGUGUUGUUUAAUUUUUCUUGUGCAGUUGGAUGAGCACUCAUCCUAUGAAAGAAUUUGUUUCCAUGUUUAAAGAAGGUUCCUUCUGAGGAUCUCUAAUUGCAGCUGGGCCAGUUCAACAAGUUUCAAGCAGAUAGCAAAUAUCCAAAAGAUUAGCAAAUAGGUACUCGACCUAGUUUGUUGCAGAAUAUAUCUUAUGCAUCAGCAAAGAAGUUAGGAUUCAGCAUGCUGAUUUCUGGAAGCCCCAAAUCUGGCCAGAGGUAUCUUGCUUCUUGCCUUCUCCACUGCUUUGUUGGAAACGUGGAAAUCCAAAAGGUUGA